rnacentral:lncRNA from 1 species
CACUUUGGGGUGUCCCCGUGUCCCCAAUGCUGAGGAGGUUUGGGGUGGCUGGGAUUGGGGUGUCCCAAUGUCCCCAAUACUGGGAAAAGCCACCUUGGGGUGUCACUGUGUCCCCAACGCUGGGAAAAGCCACCCUGGGAUGUCCCUGUGUCCCCAACUCUGAUGAGGUUUUUAGGGGUUCUUCUGGAAACCCUUUCCUUGUAAGGAAACCCUUUCUUUUGGGGCCAAAACCUUUCCUUUUGGGGCCAGAAAUCCUUCUUUUUGGGGCUGGAAACCUUUUAGUUUUGGGGACCAGGAGCCCUUUGUUGGGGUGCUGGAAAUCCUUUUUUGGGGGUGCUGAAAGCUCCCCCUUUCCUUGUAGGGAAACCCUUUCUUUUGGGGCCAAAACCUUUCCUUUUGGGGUUGGAAACCUUUUCAUUGUGGGGUUGGUGACCCUUUAUUUUUGGGGCUAGAAACCCUUGUUUUUGGCGCUGGAAACUCUUUCCUUUUGGGGCUGGAAACCCUUUCUUUUAGGGCUGGAAGCUCUUCCUUUUGGGGCCAGAAACCCUCUUUUUGGGGGCCAGAAACUCUUUGUUUUUGGGGCCAGAAACCCUUUUUUGGGAAACCAGAACCCCUUUGUUUUUGGGGUCAAAACCCCUUUUUUUGGAGCAGGAAACAAUUCCAGGUUUUCCCCUCAGAGCUCAGCCCCAGGAUCCCACCCAGAGCCCCGUAACCCCAUAAAGAGCAGGGGUGGGACACCAAAAAACCCCAAAAUUCCCCAAAAUUCCCCCAAAUUCCCGCUGGGCACUCACCGCUCCGGCCGGCCGUGCUGUUGUCCAGCGCGUGGCACGCGGCCAGCAGGACACCUGGGGAGGGACAACGGGGUCAGCCACACCCUGACCCCAAAAAUCCCCUUAAAAAAUCCCCCAAGGGGAUUUAGGGUCACCAAAACCACCCCGAGAUUUUGAAGGAAAACGCAGGAAUUUUUAGGAAAUUUUAAAGGGAAAAUCUCAGGAUUUUAAAGGAAAAAAUCCUCAAGGUUUUUAAGGGAAAUGCAGGAAUUCCCCGCGGCAGGAAUGACCCCUUGGGGAGAUUUUGAGGGAAAAACCUCCAAGGUUUUUUAAGGAAAAAGAUUUUUAAGGAAAAAUCUCCAGGAUUUUGAAGGAAAACGCAGGAAUUCCCUGUGGGCAUCCUGGUGGGAUCGGUGGGCAUCCAUCCCUGUGGGCAUCCAUUGCCUGGCAUUCCAGUGGAAUGAGUGGGCAUCCAUCCC